rnacentral:snoRNA from 1 species
UUUGGAUCAAAGAUGUUACUUUAUUCUGCGUUAUCUAUCUGAUAGUACUUUCUCUGAAAGGAAAUGGAGAUAACACUGAUCACAUACUGAGAUCCAGU